rnacentral:misc_RNA from 1 species
CUUCAAAACAUAGGAACACCUGCUAAAUGCGCCACUUCCUGUGGCAACGCAUGUGUUAGCAUGUCCUAUGCGUUGUUCUUUGAGAACUAGAUAACAGAAGUAAUUCACAUUCAAUUAGUAAUGCAAGAUAUCACGUAGUGAUUCUUUUUAACGGUUAAGUUAGAAAGGGCGCACGGUGGAUGCCUUGGCACUAGGGGCCGAU